rnacentral:misc_RNA from 1 species
GAAAGGCGAUAAUUAAUGUGAAUUGCAGAAUUCAGUGAAUCAUCGAGUCUUUGAACGCACAUUGCGCCCCCUGGUAUUCCGGGGGGCAUGCCUGUCCGAGCGUCAUUGCUGCCCUCAAGCACGGCUUGUGUGUUGGGCUUCCGUCCCUGGCAACGGGGACGGGCCCAAAAGGCAGUGGCGGCACCAUGUCUGGUCCUCGAGCGUAUGGGGCUUUGUCACCCGCUCCCGUAGGUCCAGCUGGCAGCUAGCCUCGCAACCAAUCUUUUUAACCAGGUUGACCUCGGAUCAGGUAGGGAUACCCGCUGAACUUAAGC